rnacentral:lncRNA from 7 species
GUAACUCUGUCUUCAGCUUUUGACUCCAACGUUGCAGAAAUAAGCUAUGCGACUCUUAAGAUCAAUGAAAAACAAUGAGGCAGAAUAUGAAUAUGGGAAAGGUGUCUACAGAUCUCCAGCAUGAAGAAUCAGGGCAAGAAGGAAGCUCUGUAACCCUCAGUGUGAAGCUACUAAUAUUCCCAUCCUUGCUCUUCUUAGUGUACCAGCGGCUUUGCUUUCAUCCACACAAGUGACUAAAUAUUUCUUAGGCAGACAUAAUUCAGAAGUCUCCAGGAGAGAGUCAGAGACUCAUCCUUCUUAACUGGAGAAAACCUGAGAUGGAAGUGUUUUUUUCUGUAUACAUCCUAGGCCUUCAAGCUGCAUGGAUAUCAUAAUAACAAUCAGUGAGGGCAGAAAGUUGGAGAAUACUAAGAGAAUUCUUCAUAUUUUCUAUUUAAAUGAGCUAUAGAUCUCUCUUCAUAAUGUCACUUGGACACAACAUAUAUUUUCCUAGAGGAGGCCUACAGAAAAGUCUUCAAAAGAUGAGCAUGAUUACCGUUUGCUGUUACCAUAAGAGCUGGACAACAGAUGAGGCCAAGCACAACUUAACUACUUUUGAAAGAAGACUUAAAAAAAAUGCCUAAAGUAAUUAGUAGUAAGCAUAAAGAAGCAAAAUGAAAAUAAAGAAUUUUCCCUCU